rnacentral:rRNA from 1 species
GCUACCGCCGGGCAGGGAGCCGCGGGAAUACGGAGGGUGCAAGCGUUAUCCGGAUUUACUGGGGUUAAAGGGGUGGUAGGCGGGCCAUUAAGGCAGGGGUGAAAUCCCGGAGCUCAACUCCGGAACUGCCUUUGAUACUAUUGGUCUUGAAUAUUGUUGAGGUGGGCGGAACGGGUCAUGUAGCGGUGAAAUGCAUAGAUAUGACCCGGAACACCGAUUGCGAAGGCAGCCCGCUAAGCAAUGAUUGACGCUGAGGCACGAAAGCGUGGGGAUCAAACAGGAUUAGAUACCCCUGUAGUC